GGCAGCACAGGAGAGCUUGCUCUCUGGGUGGCGAGUGGCGGACGGGUGAGGAAUACAUCGGAAUCUACUCUGUCGUGGGGGAUAACGUAGGGAAACUUACGCUAAUACCGCAUACGACCUACGGGUGAAAGCAGGGGAUCUUCGGACCUUGCGCGAUUGAAUGAGCCGAUGUCGGAUUAGCUAGUUGGCGGGGUAAAGGCCCACCAAGGCGACGAUCCGUAGCUGGUCUGAGAGGAUGAUCAGUCACACUGGAACUGAGACACGGUCCAGACUCCUACGGGAGGCAGCAGUGGGGAAUAUUGGACAAUGGGCGCAAGCCUGAUCCAGCCAUACCGCGUGGGUGAAGAAGGCCUUCGGGUUGUAAAGCCCUUUUGUUGGGAAAGAAAUCCAGCUGGCUAAUACCCGGUUGGGAUGACGGUACCCAAAGAAUAAGCACCGGCUAACUUCGUGCCAGCAGCCGCGGUAAUACGAAGGGUGCAAGCGUUACUCGGAAUUACUGGGCGUAAAGCGUGCGUAGGUGGUCGUUUAAGUCCGUUGUGAAAGCCCUGGGCUCAACCUGGGAACUGCAGUGGAUACUGGGCGACUAGAAUGUGGUAGAGGGUAGCGGAAUUCCUGGUGUAGCAGUGAAAUGCGUAGAGAUCAGGAGGAACAUCCAUGGCGAAGGCAGCUACCUGGACCAACAUUGACACUGAGGCACGAAAGCGUGGGGAGCAAACAGGAUUAG
rnacentral:rRNA from 1 species